AACGGCGUCUAAUACUGGAUAUGAGCUCUCAUCGCAUGGUGGGGGUUGGAAAGAUUUUUCGGUUUGGGAUGGGCUCGCGGCCUAUCAGCUUGUUGGUGAGGUAAUGGCUCACCAAGGCGUCGACGGGUAGCCGGCCUGAGAGGGUGACCGGCCACACUGGGACUGAGACACGGCCCAGACUCCUACGGGAGGCAGCAGUGGGGAAUAUUGCACAAUGGGCGCAAGCCUGAUGCAGCAACGCCGCGUGAGGGAUGACGGCCUUCGGGUUGUAAACCUCUUUUGGUAGGGAAGAAGCCUUCGGGUGACGGUACCUGCAGAAAAAGCGCCGGCUAACUACGUGCCAGCAGCCGCGGUAAUACGUAGGGCGCAAGCGUUAUCCGGAAUUAUUGGGCGUAAAGAGCUCGUAGGCGGUCUGUCGCGUCUGCUGUGAAAUUCCGAGGCUCAACCUCGGGCUUGCAGUGGGUACGGGCAGACUAGAGUGCGGUAGGGGAGAUUGGAAUUCCUGGUGUAGCGGUGGAAUGCGCAGAUAUCAGGAGGAACACCGAUGGCGAAGGCAGAUCUCUGGGCCGUUACUGACGCUGAGGAGCGAAAGGGUGGGGAGCAAACAGGCUUAGAUACCCUGGUAGUCCACCCCGUAAACGUUGGGAACUAGUUGUGGGGUCCUUUCCACGGAUUCCGUGACGUAGCUAACGCAUUAAGUUCCCCGCCUGGGGAGUACGGCCGCAAGGCUAAAACUCAAAGGAAUUGACGGGGACCCGCACAAGCGGCGGAGCAUGCGGAUUAAUUCGAUGCAACGCGAAGAACCUUACCAAGGCUUGACAUACGCCAGAACGGGCCAGAAAUGGUCAACUCUUUGGACACUGGUGAACAGGUGGUGCAUGGUUGUCGUCAGCUCGUGUCGUGAGAUGUUGGGUUAAGUCCCGCAACGAGCGCAACCCUCGUUCUAUGUUGCCAGCACGUUAUGGUGGGAACUCAUGGGAUACUGCCGGGGUCAACUCGGAGGAAGGUGGGGAUGACGUCAAAUCAUCAUGCCCCUUAUGUCUUGGGCUUCACGCAUGCUACAAUGGCCGGUACAAUGGGCUGCGAUACCGCGAGGUGGAGCGAAUCCCAAAAAGCCGGUCCCAGUUCGGAUUGAGGUCUGCAACUCGACCUCAUGAAGUCGGAGUCG
rnacentral:rRNA from 1 species